AACGAACGCUGGCGGCAGGCCUAACACAUGCAAGUCGAGCGCCCUUUCGGGUGAGCGGCGGCCGGGUGAGUAACGCGUGGGAAUAUGCCCUUCUCUACGGAAUAGCCUCGGGAAACUGAGAGUAAUACCGUAUACGCCCUGUGGGGGAAAGAUUUAUCGGGGAAGGAUUAGCCCGCGUUGGAUUAGGUAGUUGGUGGGGUAAUGGCCUACCAAGCCGACGAUCCAUAGCUGGUUUGAGAGGAUGAUCAGCCACACUGGGACUGAGACACGGCCCAGACUCCUACGGGAGGCAGCAGUGGGGAAUCUUAGACAAUGGGGGCAACCCUGAUCUAGCCAUGCCGCGUGAGUGAUGAAGGCCUUAGGGUUGUAAAGCUCUUUCAGCUGGGAAGAUAAUGACGGUACCAGCAGAAGAAGCCCCGGCUAACUCCGUG
rnacentral:rRNA from 1 species